AUCCAGCUGACGAGUCCCAAAUAGGAGAAAAUGCGCGUUGUUCUGGAU
rnacentral:hammerhead_ribozyme from 1 species